GAUGAACGCUGGCGGCGUGCUUAACACAUGCAAGUCGAACGAUGAAGCCCAGCUUGCUGGGUGGAUUAGUGGCGAACGGGUGAGUAACACGUGAGUAACCUGCCCUUAACUCUGGGAUAAGCCUGGGAAACUGGGUCUAAUACCGGAUAGGAGCGCCUACCGCAUGGUGGGUGUUGGAAAGAUUUAUCGGUUUUGGAUGGACUCGCGGCCUAUCUGCUUGUUGGUGAGGUAAUGGCUCACCAAGGCGACGACGGGUAGCCGGCCUGAGAGGGUGACCGGCCACACUGGGACUGAGACACGGCCCAGACUCCUACGGGAGGCAGCAGUGGGGAAUAUUGCACAAUGGGCGAAAGCCUGAUGCAGCGACGCCGCGUGAGGGAUGACGGCCUUCGGGUUGUAAACCUCUUUCAGUAGGGAAGAAGCGAAAGUGACGGUACCUGCAGAAGAAGCACCGGCUAACUACGUG
rnacentral:rRNA from 1 species